rnacentral:lncRNA from 1 species
AGAAAUUGAGGUCUGAAUUGGAUUCGAUUAAUUCCACAAACUAUAUAUGAUUGAUAUGUAUUUUAACAGUCGGCUUCAAUGUCUAACAAUUUAAAACCCUUGAUUUUAUUAUGAAAUUAAUCCCUAAUUUUUUUGAAUAUAUGGGCUUUGGUAUGCUAGGGUCCUAAAACAGAUUCGUGAACCAAUAUAUUUCUAGUUGCAUACAGAACAGUAGAACACUAAAAUUAUGAUGAUCAAAGCAUAUAAAACAUAAUUAGCUGAAUUGAUUCUUUCUCUAUAUCAGUCUGUAAAAACUGAUAUUGUAGCGGUGGCUUAUACUAAAUGCUUCUAAGUUCUGCUAUUGUAGAGAGCCGAAGAUGCUGCCCACUGCAUAAUUAUGUUUAUAAAAAAACUAUUUUCUGACAUAAUUAUGUUUAUUGUUUAGUGUUUUAGAAACAAAGUUUGAUUUGAAAUAGAAAAAAGAGAGGAGAAUCUUCAAAAAAAUUUGUUAUCUUGACUGAGCGAUUGUAGCUUUAAAGAGCUUCCAGUCACACACAUUUCUCUAACUUCUUAUGUGGAAACCUUGUCGACAUAGACAGGGUGACAUUUCAGUUACUGGAAGCAAAUGAUCGAGUCAAGUAGACCUGGUAGCUGGUAUCAAGAUCAGGGUCCAGACUCCGGUGACUUGUAGCUUCAUAGUUAUUCCCAGAUUCGCCCUGUCUCGGAACCAUGCCAAGCAGCCAAGGUACGUAGUCCCAGUGACAUGCAAUUUCUUCAACUGUUUCUGUGGAAAACUUAAACUUUCCAGGCGAGACGUAGACAGUGUGAUAUAUCAGCAAGUGGAAUCAAAUCAUCUACAAGACCUGGUCCAAGC